rnacentral:rRNA from 1 species
AUACGGAGGAUGCGAGCGUUAUCCGGUUUUAUUGGGUUUAAAGGGAGCGUAGGUGGGAUAUUAAGUCAGCUGUGAAAGUUUGGGGCUCAACCUUAAAAUUGCAGUUGAUACUGGUUUCCUUGAGUACGGUACAGGUGGGCGGAAUUCGUGGUGUAGCGGUGAAAUGCUUAGAUAUCACGAAGAACUCCGAUCGCGAAGGCAGCUCACCGGGCCGGAACUGACACUGAUGCUCGAAAGUGCGGGUAUCAAACAGGAUUAGAUACCCUGGUAGUCCGCACAGUAAACGAUGAAUACUCGCUGUUUGCGAUACACGGUAAGCGGCCAAGCGAAAGCGUUAAGUAUUCCACCUGGGGAGUACGCCGGCAACGGUGAAACUCAAAUGAAUUGGCGGGG